GGCCGCUUAGCUCAGUUGGUUAGAGCGUUCGGUUUACAUCCGAAAGGUCGGGGGUUCGAGGCCCUCAGCGGCCA
rnacentral:tRNA from 1 species